GACGAACGCUGGCGGCGUGCUUAACACAUGCAAGUCGAACGGAAAGGCCCUGCUUUUGUGGGGUGCUCGAGUGGCGAACGGGUGAGUAACACGUGAGUAACCUGCCCUUGACUUUGGGAUAACUUCAGGAAACUGGGGCUAAUACCGGAUAGGAGCUCCUGCUGCAUGGUGGGGGUUGGAAAGUUUCGGCGGUUGGGGAUGGACUCGCGGCUUAUCAGCUUGUUGGUGGGGUAGUGGCUUACCAAGGCUUUGACGGGUAGCCGGCCUGAGAGGGUGACCGGCCACAUUGGGACUGAGAUACGGGCCAGACUCCUACGGGAGGCAGCAGUGGGGAAUAUUGCACAAUGGGCGGAAGCCUGAUGCAGCAACGCCGCGGGCGGGAUGACGGCCUUCGGGGUGGAAACCGCUUUCGCCUGUGACGAAGCGUGAGUGACGGUAAUGGGUAAAGAAGCACCGGCUAACUACGUG
rnacentral:rRNA from 1 species